rnacentral:rRNA from 1 species
GACGGAGGGGGCAAGCGUUGUUCGGAUUCAUUGGGCGUAAAGGGCUCGUAGGCGGACAGGUAAGUCUGGCGUGAAAUCUCCACCACUCAACGGGGAGAGGUCGUCGGAAACUGCUUGUCUGGAGUACGGUAGAGGACCAUGGAAUUCCAGGUGUAGCGGUGGAAUGCGUAGAGAUCCGGAAGAACACCAGUGGCGAAGGCGGUCUGCUGGGCAGUUGCUGACACUGAGGCGCGACAGCGUGGGGAGCAAACAGG